rnacentral:rRNA from 1 species
GACAGAGGGUGCAAACGUUGUUCGGAAUUACUGGGCGUAAAGCGCGCGUAGGCGGGGAAGAAAGUCUACUGUGAAAGCCCGGAGCUCAACUCCGGAGGGUCGGUAGAUACUUUUUCUCUUGAAGCUGCUAGGGGGAGAUGGAAUUACCGGUGUAGCGGUGAAAUGCGUAGAUAUCGGUAGGAACACCUGUGGCGAAAGCGAGGUCCUGGACGUUUACUGACGCUGAGACGCGAAAGCUAGGGGAGCGAACGGG